rnacentral:misc_RNA from 1 species
CAACCCUCAAGCUCUGCUUGGUAUUGGGCCCCGUCCUCCACGGACGCGCCUUAAAGACCUCGGCGGUGGCGUCUUGCCUCAAGCGUAGUAGAAAACACCUCGCUUUGGAGCGCAUGGCGUCGCCCGCCGGACGAACCUUUGAAUUAUUUCUCAA